CAUACUUACCGAAAUACGCACCAGUUGUUUUCCAUCAAUUCCGCAUCAAAUGUAACGCAACGAAACUUUAAAAUAUUCAAGUAAGCAUUUCGGCGUAAAAAUACAUUGAAUGUUAUAUGAAAACAGUAUGGUUGACCCGGCAGUCGAGCACUCGUCCACCGGCGAACGUACAGUUAUUUCGUUUUCCCCGAUAGGCGCGUAUUAUUAUAGGAAAAAAAAAAAAA